UUAGCCAUAAAGAUGGUUAUGAGAAGUACACUGCCUGGAAAAGGAUUUGGACAAGUAAUGGGAAAAGCGAACCCAGCCCAAAAGCCUUCAUGGCUGAUCAACAGCUCCCUUAUUGGGUGCAGUGUACAAAGCCAGAGUGUGGUAAAUGGCGUCAGCUGACAAAGGAAAUCCAGCUGACACCGCAAAUAGCAAAAACGUACAGAUGUGGUAUGAAACUAAACAAUUCCACCAAG
rnacentral:lncRNA from 1 species